AACGAACGCUGGCGGCGCGUCUUACACAUGCAAGUCGAACGGAAGGACGGGGCUUGCCCCUUCUGAGCGUGGCGGACUGGUGUGUAACACGUGGGUGACAUACCCCUUAGAUGGGGAUAGCACUUCGAAAUAGUAGGUAAUACCGCAUGUGACAGUACCUGUUAGAGGGGUAAGAGGGAAGGAGCUAAGGCUUCGCUAAAAGAAUGGCUCGCGGCCCAUUAUGCUCGUUGGUGGGGUAACGGCCCACCAAGGCGAGGAUGGGUAUCCGGCCUGUGAGGGUGAUCGGACGCAUUGGAACUGAGAUACGGCCCAGACUUCUACGGGAGGCAGCAGUUAAGAAUGUUCCGCAAUGGACGAAAGUCUGACGGAGCGGCGCCGCGUGGAUGAAGAAUGCCGAAAGGUUGUAAAAUCCUUUUAAGCCUGAUGAAUAAGCACAGUAGGGAAUGAUGGUGCGGUGACCGUAGUGCUUGAAUAAGCACCGGCUAAUUACGUG
rnacentral:rRNA from 1 species